rnacentral:rRNA from 1 species
UACGAAGGGGGCUAGCGUUGUUCGGAAUUACUGGGCGUAAAGGGCGCGUAGGCUGUGCUGUAAGUCGGUGGUGAAAUCCUGGAGCUCAACUCCAGAACUGCCUUCGAUACUGGGAGUCUUGGAGUCCGGGAGAGGUGAGUGGAACUGCGAGUGUAGAGGUGAAAUUCGUAGAUAUUCGCAAGAACACCAGUGGCGAAGGCGGCUCACUGGCCCGGUACUGACGCUGAGGUGCGAAAGCGUGGGGAGCAAACAGG